GACGAACGCUGGCGGCGUGCUUAACACAUGCAAGUCGAACGGAAAGGCCCUGCUUGUGGGGUGUUCUCGAGUGGCGAACGUGUGAGUAACACGGGAGUAACCUGCCCUUGACUGUGGGAUAACUGCGGGAAACGGGGGCUAAUACCGUAUAGGAGCUCCUGCUGCAUGGUGUUGGUUGGUAAUUUUCGUCGGGUGGGGAUGGACUGCCGGCUUAUAAGCUUGUUGGGGGGGUAGUGGCUUACCAAGGCUUUGCCGGGUAGCCGGCCUGAGUGGGUGACCGGCACAAUUGGGCUUGAGAUCCGGCCAAGACCCUUCGGGGAGGAAGAAGGGGGGAUAAUUGAAAAAUGGGCGGAAGCCUGUUGAACGAACGCCGCGUGCGGGAUGACGGCUUUCGGGUGGUAACCCGUUUUCGCAUGUGCCGAAGCGUGAGUGACGGUAAUGGGUAAAGAAGCACCGGCUAACUACGUG
rnacentral:rRNA from 1 species